rnacentral:lncRNA from 1 species
GCAGGAGAGCAUGAAGAAGCAGAGGAGAAGCACAGCCUUCUGCUUAGAGGUGAACUCCAUCACCACUGUCGCCGGUCCGCCGCCGCUGCCACCAGCCCACCACAAAGCACAGUAGAGCAGCAGCAAAGGCAAGGUAGUAGAAAUAGAAACUGCUCUAUCUAUCGAUGAUGAGUGGCUCUCUAGAUCUUUCAGGGAAAAAAAAAGUUUUGAGUGGCUCUCUCAGUAGACCUCGGCUAACCACACAAAUGAAGUGAGCUGUGUGCUGCUGCCUCU